rnacentral:lncRNA from 1 species
GACACCCACAUGCACUUGAGCCUAAUUUGCCGCACUCUUUUGAAAGAUAGGUAACCAGUCGUCUGUAAAGGAUCAAUAUAGUUGGGGUGCAGAUACAGGCCUUCCCCUAGGGAAACACUUGCAUCAGUAUUAGUGAGAGACCAAGUACACAUCUGAAGCAUUCCUGUGCUUUCUGUCCACUUGUCAGGUGAUGUUGCCACGUAUGACUGUCCAUCAGCCAGGAGAUGAACCCCCCACCGUGAGGCAGUGACUCAAGGUGCAAGGGAGUCCGGCAAGAAGUGUGGCGCACCCGAGUUGCUGCCACUGCUUUUUGGAUCACCCAGCACGGUCUUCUGAAGUCUUCCUGAAAGCAUCCCUGGUGAUCUGUGAGCCCUUGGUCGUGUUGCCCGCCUUCUUCCUGUGGGUCUUGCUGGAUGCUCAUUGUCCCUGUGAGCCGAGGCCCUGGAGGCUUCAGAUUUAGGUGAAGUUGCCACGUAUGACUGUCCAUCAGCCAGGAGAUGAACCCCCACCCGUGAGGCAGUGACUCAAGGUGCAAGGGAGUCCGGCAAGAAGUGUGGCGCACCCGAGUUGCUGCCACUGCUUUUUGGAUCACCCAGCACGGUCUUCUGAAGUCUUCCUGAAAGCAUCCCUGGUGAUCUGUGAGCCCUUGGUCGUGUUGCCCGCCUUCUUCCUGUGGGUCUUGCUGGAUGCUCAUUGUCCCUGUGAGCCGAGGCCCUGGAGGCUUCAGAUUAGGUGAGUCGCCCUUUGUUGCAUAAUGAAUUCAAUUUGGACCAAGCCCUGCAUAUGAGAGCUUUCUCUAGGGUGUGGUCAGUACCCAGGGCCCUGCAGGCUGUAGAUUGGAGGAUAAUCUGGCCAGGAAAAGGAAUCCCGUUUCUGUGGGAGUGACCC